AUUGAACGCUGGCGGCAGGCUUAACACAUGCAAGUCGAGCGGAGAUGAGGUGCUUGCACCUUAUCUUAGCGGCGGACGGGUGAGUAAUGCUUAGGAAUCUGCCUAUUAGUGGGGGACAACAUUCCGAAAGGAAUGCUAAUACCGCAUACGCCCUACGGGGGAAAGCAGGGGAUCUUCGGACCUUGCGCUAAUAGAUGAGCCUAAGUCGGAUUAGCUAGUUGGUGGGGUAAAGGCCUACCAAGGCGACGAUCUGUAGCGGGGCUGAGAGGAUGAACCACCACACUGGGACUGAGGCACGGCCAAGACUCCUACGGGAGGCAGCAGUGGGGAAUAUUGGACAAUGGGCGGAAGCCUGAUCCAGCCAUGCCGCGUGUGUGAAGAAGGCCUUUUGGUUGUAAAGCACUUUAAGCGAGGAGGAGGCAACCUGGAUUAAUACUCUAGGAUAGUGGACGUUACUCGCAGAAUAAGCACCGGCUAACUCUGUGCCAGCCGCCGCGGUAACAC
rnacentral:rRNA from 1 species